rnacentral:rRNA from 1 species
UUUGAAUAAAAGUAGUUAAGUUCUUCAUAACUCAAAUAAUUUGGCGGUUAAUUUUAUUUUUAGAGGAACCUGUAAUUUAAUUGAUAAACCACGAUAGAUUUUACCAUUUUUUUAUCUGUAUACCUCUAUGGUUAUUAGAGUGUUUUUUAUAAAAAUUUUCUUUUACAUUUGUUUCUUUUAUUUUAGGUCAAGGUGCAGUUUUAAUUUGGUAAUUAUGGGUUACAUUAAUUUUUAAUUUUUAUUAAUUUAAUAUUUACAAUUUAUUUAUACUGGAUUUAAAAGUAAAUUUAAUUAAUUAAUUAUUUUGAAUUUUA